UACUCCUUUAGAAUUGCAGUCUAACGUCAUUAUUGACUAUAAAGCC
rnacentral:tRNA from 1 species